CUGGGCCACAGUAUAACACGGGUGAGCCUUGGACGCCCGCCUGCCUCAUUCACUCAUGACACACAGCUGAGCAGGCCUUGGGCCCUGGGCCCCGACCCAGCACCGGGAACAAACAACACUGGCAAAGAUCCCGGGCCCUGCAGCUGGGGGACCAAGUCUGGGGCUGCCUGGCACUAAGGAGGGUCUUGGGUCAGAGUGUCAGUGCUGACACCAGGACAGUCCCAGGCAAACUGGGAUCAUGGAGCUGACCUUUGCAUGAGAGAGACAACCAGAGCCAAGUGACAUAAAUGGGGUUUCACCAUGUUGACCAGGCUGGUCUCCAGCUCCUGACCUCGAGUGAUCUGCCUGCCUCGGCCUCCCGAGGUGCUGGGAUUGCAGACGGAGACUCGCUCACUCAGUGCUCAAUGUUGCCCAGGCUGGAGUGCAGUGGCAUGAUCUCGGCUUGCUACAACCUCCACCUCCCAGCCGCCUGCCUUGGCCUCCCAAAGUGCUAAGAUUACAGCCUCUGUCCAGCCGCCACCCCGUCUAGGAAGUGAGGAGCGCCUCUGCCCGGCCGCCCAUUGUCUGGGAUGUGAGGAGCGCCUCUGCCCGGCUGCCCCGUCUGGGAGGUGAGGAGCGCCUCUGCCCGGCCGCCCAUCGUCUGGGAGGUGAGGAGCGCCUCUGCCCAGCCGCCACCCUAUCUAGGAAGUGAGGAGCGCCUCUGCCCGGCUGCCCCGUCUGGGAAGUGAGGAGCGUCUCUGCCUGGCCACCGCCCGUCUGGGAAGUGAGGAGUGCCUCUGCCUGGCCGCUGUGCAAUCUUCCAAGUGUGAAGUGACAGCCUUUCUGCAGGUGUAUCCAACAGCUGUGAAGAGACAGCGACCAUCGAGAACGGGCCAUGAUGACGAUGGCGGUUUUGUCAAAAAGAAAAGGGGGAAAUGUGGGGAAAAGAAAGAGAGAUCAGAUUGUUACUGUGUCUGUGUAGAAAGAAGUAGACAUAGGAGACUCCAUUUUCUGUACUAAGAAAAUUCUUCUGCCUUGGGAUGCUGUUAAUCUAUAACCUUACCCCCAACCCCGUGCUCUCUGAAACAUGUGCUGUGUCCACUCAGGGUUAAAUGGAUUAAGGGCGGUGCAAGAUGUGCUUUGUUAAACAGAUGCUCGAAGGCAGCAUGCUUGUUAAGAGUCAUCACCACUCCCUAAUCUCAAGUACCCAGGGACACAAACACUGCGGAAGGCCGCAGGGUCCUCUGCCUAGGAAAACCAGAGACCUUUGUUCACAUGUUUAUCUGCUGACCUUCUGUCCACUAUUGUCCUAUGACUCUGACAUAUCCCCCUCUCUGAGAAACACCCAAGAAUGAUCAAUAAAUGCUAAAAAAAAAAAAAAGAAAAAAAAAGAGAGAGAGAGAUGGAGUCUUGCUCGGUCACCCAGGCUGGAGUGCAGUAGCGCAAUCUCAGGUCACUGCAACCUCUGCCUCCCAGGUUCAAGCAAUUCUCCUGCCUCAGCCUCCUGAGUACCUGGGAUUACAGGUGUGUGCUACCACAUCCGGCUAAUUUUUCUAUUUUUGGUAGAGACAAGGUUUCUCUAUGUUGGCCAGGCUGAUCUCGAACUCCUGACCUCAGGUGAUCUGCCCUCCUCGGCCUCCCAAAAUGCUGGAAUUACAGGCGUGAGCCACCGCACCCAGCCUGCUUAUUGAAUAUUUUUAAGAUAGUUGAUUUAACAUUUUUGUCUAGUACUUCCAAUGUCUGGACAGCUUCAGAAGUGACUUCUAUAAAAUUACCUUUUUUUUUUUUUUCCUGUGAAUGGGUCAUACUUUCCUGUUUCUUUGUAUGCUGUGUAAUUUUGUAUUGGA
rnacentral:lncRNA from 1 species